rnacentral:rRNA from 1 species
UGGGGAAUUUUGGACAAUGGGCGCAAGCCUGAUCCAGCAAUGCCGCGUGCAGGAUGAAGGCCUUCGGGUUGUAAACUGCUUUUGUACGGAACGAAAAAGCUCUCUCUAAUAAAGGGCGCUCAUGACGGUACCGUAAGAAUAAGCACCGGCUAACUACGUGCCAGCAGCCGCGGUAAUACGUAGGGUGCGAGCGUUAAUCGGAAUUACUGGGCGUAAAGCGUGCGCAGGCGGUUUUGUAAGACAGAGGUGAAAUCCCCGGGCUCAACCUGGGAACUGCCUUUGUGACUGCAAGGCUGGAGUGCGGCAGAGGGGGAUGGAAUUCCGCGUGUAGCAGUGAAAUGCGUAGAUAUGCGGAGGAACACCGAUGGCGAAGGCAAUCCCCUGGGCCUGCACUGACGCUCAUGCACGAAAGCGUGGGGAGCAAACA